UACAGAGGGUGCGAGCGUUAAUCGGAAUUACUGGGCGUAAAGCGCGCGUAGGCGGCUUUGUAAGUUAGAGGUGAAAGCCCGGGGCUCAACCCCGGAACUGCCUUUAAGACUGCAUCGCUUGAAUCCGGGAGAGGUGAGUGGAAUUCCGAGUGUAGAGGUGAAAUUCGUAGAUAUUCGGAAGAACACCAGUGGCGAAGGCGGCUCACUGGACCGGCAUUGACGCUGAUGUGCGAAAGCGUGGGGAGCAAACAGG
rnacentral:rRNA from 1 species